AGCGGCGGACGGCUGAGUAACACGUGGGCAACCUGCCUGUAAGACUGGGAUAACUUCGGGAAACCGAAGCUAAUACCGGAUAGGAUCUUCUCCUUCAUGGGAGAUGAUUGAAAGAUGGUUUCGGCUAUCACUUACAGAUGGGCCCGCGGUGCAUUAGCUAGUUGGUGAGGUAACGGCUCACCAAGGCAACGAUGCAUAGCCGACCUGAGAGGGUGAUCGGCCACACUGGGACUGAGACACGGCCCAGACUCCUACGGGAGGCAGCAGUAGGGAAUCUUCCGCAAUGGACGAAAGUCUGACGGAGCAACGCCGCGUGAGUGAUGAAGGCUUUCGGGUCGUAAAACUCUGUUGUUAGGGAAGAACAAGUACAAGAGUAACUGCUUGUACCUUGACGGUACCUAACCAGAAAGCCACGGCUAACUACGUGCCAGCAGCCGCGGUAAUACGUAGGUGGCAAGCGUUAUCCGGAAUUAUUGGGCGUAAAGCGCGCGCAGGCGGUUUCUUAAGUCUGAUGUGAAAGCCCACGGCUCAACCGUGGAGGGUCAUUGGAAACUGGGGAACUUGAGUGCAGAA
rnacentral:rRNA from 2 species